UACGAAGGGGGCUAGCGUUGUUCGGAGUUACUGGGCGUAAAGGGCGCGUAGGCGGCGCAUCAAGUCAGGCGUGAAAGCCCUGGGCUCAACCCGGGAAUUGCGCUUGAGACUGGUGUGCUUGAGUACGGGAGAGGAUAGUGGAAUUCCCAGUGUAGAGGUGAAAUUCGUAGAUAUUGGGAAGAACACCAGUGGCGAAGGCGGCUAUCUGGACCGUAACUGACGAUCAGGCACGAAAGCGUGGGGAGCAAACAGG
rnacentral:rRNA from 1 species